CUGUCUUGUUGGCCACCGUGUUCACGCUGGCUACCACUGCCUCUCCCACCACGUUGGCCUGCUCCUUGGUCUUCUCAGCAACUGAGGUCACACUCUGCACUACGCCUUCCUUGGUUUUGGUACCUACGUACAUCACACCUUCUUUGGUCUUCUCCGCAGCCUCUGUCACUCCCUGCUUGGUCUUUUCUGCAGCAGCCACCACGCCUUCUUUAGCGAUGGAGAACCCUUUC
rnacentral:lncRNA from 1 species